UUUGUGUCCUUUUUGAUAGCCUUUUUACGGGAAAGUUGCUUUGCGGAGGUUUUGAUUUGGUUGAAAGCAAUGCACAAAGAGAAGAGAGAGAUGAUUUUUGGUAAGAGGCUUUUUUUCAGGAGGAAAAUUGGGGAAGAAGAUGGAAGAUAGGAAAUUAAUUAAUUAAUGGCUGUAGAAUUAGGAGAAGCUGCUACUCUGGGUAGUUGUUUGUUGAAUUGAUAAUAAAUUGAGUUUGG
rnacentral:lncRNA from 1 species